CUAGAUUAAAAAGGAUAAUUUAUAGUGAGAACAUUGAAUUGAGAUUACAAACAAAGGUAAUGUUGACCUCAAAAAGUGUACUUCCAGAUGGCCAACAGAUCUCGAUACCUAUCACGUUCGAACAAGCCGUUUUCCUGCACAAUAGGACAAAUCGUUAGAGACGCGUGGCCUUCUCCGAUGGGGGUGGAGCCGGCCGCACGCACUCCGAGGGUUAAGUCAGUUGGGGAAGAUAUAUGUGAGUGUGGGAAGGCUUUUAACGUGAGCUUCCAAUAUAAAGGAGGUCGGAAUCGGGAGUAAAAAAUAUAGAGAGCAGAGUUAUAGUAUCAAAGUCUAAACUUGCAUUAUCUUGGAAUGACACCAAGUGUAAACUUUUAUAGUAGAAGAGGGUGAGUAAGAGCUAGCUUUUAUAGUAGAAGAGGGUGAGUAAAAGCUGUUAGAUAAAGAGACACGUGACCUCAUCUUGGCGGCUAGGGCCUCUUGGUAUAGGCAUCAAUCAGUCAGGCUUAGGCUCAAGUGCAUUUAAUGUUAUGACCAUUAGUAGUUCUAGGCUUGACAUGUAAGACUAGGCUUGACUUGCUGAUUGAAUUGGGCCACCCAUGCAGUGAGUUGUCACAUCACCCACUUACUAUAAGAUCUUGUACAAGGAUCUUCCUUAAGAUGCCUCUACCUUCCUCGCCUCGUUCAUGGGGGCUUGGCCCUUCAUUGGGGUCAUGGGGGUUCGGCCAUAUUGCUAGUAGAAUGAUGUGGAGUGUCGGCCUAAGUUCUCAUGCUAUGCAGCUGCAAUUUGUCAAUGCUUAGAGCCUUAUUGGAAGAGGUGUAGCAGGUAAUAAUAUCACACGAGGACAAACGAAAGGACAGUAAAAUAUGUUUAUCCAGAAAGAGAAAUAAAAAUAAAGAGAUGCCUGCCAAUGCCAUUGUACAAAAAUUCAGCAAAUCAGAAACAAAAGGUUGGGAUGGAGAGUGAAAUUUGAGGGAAGGAUGACGUUUUUUCUUUAAAGUGUAGCAAUAAAGAAUGAGAGAGAAAUAGAAAAAGGGUGCAACAAAAACCAUAAAAGUAUCAAGGAGUCACUUUCAAGAGAAAGCAUUUUGGAGGAUCUUUCCUUAUUCUUAGAAAAACAUUGUACUAAUAAAUUUUGAGUCGAGUUGAGUUACGAUGAGUUCUUGUUCACUGAUCCUUGUUCAAGGGUUCUUUUAGGACAGAGAAGUGUUAAGGCAAUUCUCUUUUCUCUACUGAGAUCAAGAAAACGGAAGUUUUGCAGGAAAUUUUGGGUGCUUGUAACUGGAAUGAUUGUCAGUUCUUUGCAGUACUUAGUAUAGAUUACUGUUAGAUUAAUCUAGUAUGAAAAGCUGUGUAAAGUGAGAAGAAUAAAUAUGGGUUAGGCUAAAUUUUUGCAUUGAUAAAAUUUGUAAGAUAAUGGUAGCAACUUUUGGCAUUCAGAUUUGUCAGUUGCAGUCUUGCGGAAAUAGCACAGCAAAAGAUUACCGUAAAUAAAAAGCUGGAACAGCAGGGAAAAAAGCACAAGAACAAGGUUCUGAGUCUGGAUCAUCCUCCUCAUCUUUAUAAUCAGAACCAGACCGAAAC
rnacentral:lncRNA from 1 species